GCCUGGGUGGCUCAGUCGGUUAAGUGUCUGACUUCAGCUCAGGUCAUGAUCUCACGGUCCGUGAGUUUGAGCCCCACAUCGGGCU
rnacentral:tRNA from 1 species